CUCUCGAUCUCUCAUCUUUUUUUUUGCUCUCUCUUUUCUUCUCCCUUCUUUCUUUCUUUCUUCAACAACAAAUAAAUCACCACAUCAGAGAAAUCUAGAAACUUGAUUGUAAUAAUGGAGACCAAACCAGUGAAGAAGCGUUUAAGAAUCGAGGCUUGAUUUCUUAUCUCUCUCAUCUUCAAUACUCAUCUUCUUCAUCUCUCUCUCUCUGGAAACCUCCAUAUCUUUUUUGAGUUUCUUCUGUUUGUUUUCUUCUCUCUAUAAUUUUGAUGGACAAGAUCUGAUAUCUAACCCAUUUUUUCGGUGGACCAGAUCUGUUCUUCAAACCAAUCGGUGGACAACACUGAUUUAUCCUCCCAGAUGGACAAGACUGAUGAAUUUCCCGAUAGACAACACUGAUGAACCUUCUGAUGGACAAGAUUGAUUAACUUCCUGGUGGACAACACUGAUGAGCUCCCCGAAGACAACAAUUGAUUUUGAUGAACUCCUGAUGGACAAGAGUGAUGAUUUCCCGAGACAAUAAUCGGUAGACAACACUAAUGAACCUCCUGAUGGACAACACUAAUGAACUUCCCGAGGACAACAAUCGAAGGACAACACUGAUGAACUCUCCGGUGGACAACAUUGAUGAAUUCCCAGAUGAAUUCUCAUAUAACAACAAUCGAUAGACAAUACUGAUGAACUCAUCGAUGGACAAAAUUGAUUCAUAUCAAUUUGUAUAUUUCUUUUUUUAUUAUGUUUUUGAUUCAGAUUUAAUUCAAGGAUAAAAUCGUCUUUUUCUCAA